UGUGUGUGUGACCUUGGUGGAGGUAGGACGUGUCCGCUCUGCCUUCCAUUCAACUUGUUCUUUCAUAAGACAAUUUUGUACAUUUGCCAUUAGAAUGGGACCCAUUUCAGAAAACAAUUUACCUGCCACAGAUACCCAUUGCCCGAUAUACAAACACUAAAUGCACUUUGGAAUCCCCUAAGUGUCAAGUGCAAAAAAAUACUACACACAGACUGUUCUCAAUAACCGACCUAUGUCAUGUGAACUUUUUAACACUAAUAAACCAGUACAUGUGUGAAGAGUGCGCAAAAGAGCAUGGUGAUAGACAGUUUGCGUUGAUGUAUGCAUUAGUAGAAAAGGAAGAAGAAAAUGAAUAGAAUAUGGGUGAGGAAAAUAAAUAAUGAAAGUGAGAAUGACCAACCACCGACCCCCACUUUAGAGUGCAGUUCGAAAAGUGUCUCGGACAAUGAGUCGAUGAACGUGGACGCGUCACUGACGAACAAGGCACUAGUAGUGACGGUUAAGGAUGAAAGGAAACAAAAACACGAGUAUGUUACUUUUACAAACUAAAUCGUUGUAGAUAUGGUAGAAAGGGUCGUAAUUGUCCCUUUUCAUAUUCUAACCUGGGAAACAGACAUAAAACAUUUGCCAGAGACUCGGUCAAAGGGUGCAAAAAAAGGUAGCGAUUGCUGUUAUGUUCUUCCACUUAUUUGCAUUGGUUCUGAGAGGAAGCGCGAGUAUUUUAAUCUGUAGUACAAAAGACUACACUUGAAAGACACUACUAGUAGACGGUACCCGGAUAAUCCAAGGAGUUUCGAACAUGACGAGCCUUAUGAAGCACCCCGACGACGACAUCCAUCUAGGGUCUCGCGAGCCUUUCAUUUCAGUGGCUCGCAGACACAAGGACGGGUAGGAUGUGGCGCAACAAACAGGAGUGCUGGACAGCCUGACUGCAGAAGAUAGAAGGCACAGAGGAAGAAGAUACAAGGGAUGGAAACUGGAGAAGACUCAUACAUGGCACCAACUCCUCACUCUGCAGUGGCAAAAGCAGCAGUUUUCCAGGAGGCUGUGUGGUGUGGCCUGUAUUUUUAAGGCUGAGAGGAUGCUGCUGGUACUAUAUACACUCCAAGGCAGAGGCAGAGUGGGUUGGGAAUUCUCACAAAAAA